UACGAAGGGGGCUAGCGUUGCUCGGAAUCACUGGGCGUAAAGCGCACGUAGGCGGAUUGUUAAGUCAGGGGUGAAAUCCUGGAGCUCAACUCCAGAACUGCCUUUGAUACUGGCGAUCUUGAGUCCGGGAGAGGUGAGUGGAACUCCGAGUGUAGAGGUGAAAUUCGUAGAUAUUCGGAAAGAACACCAGUGGCGAAGGCGGCUCACUGGCC
rnacentral:rRNA from 1 species